GAUGAACGCUGGCGGCGUGCCUAAUACAUGCAAGUCGAGCGAACGGACGAGAAGCUUGCUUCUCUGAUGUUAGCGGCGGACGGGUGAGUAACACGUGGAUAACCUACCUAUAAGACUGGGAUAACUUCGGGAAACCGGCGCUAAUACCGGAUAAUAUUUUGAACCGCAUGGUUCAAAAGUGAAAGACGGUCUUGCUGUCACUUAUAGAUGGAUCCGCGCUGCAUUAGCUAGUUGGUAAGGUAACGGCUUACCAAGGCAACGAGGCAUAGCCGACCUGAGAGGGUGAUCGGCCACACUGGAACUGAGACACGGUCCUGACUCCUACGGGAGGCAGCAGUAGGGAAUCUUCCGCAAUGGGCGAAAGCCUGACGGAGCAACGCCGCGUGAGUGAUGAAGGUCUUCGGAUCGUAAAACUCUGUUAUGAGUGAAGAACAUAUGUGUAAGUAACUGUGCACAUCUUGACGGUACCUAAUCAGAAAGCCACGGCUAACUACGUG
rnacentral:rRNA from 1 species